UCUCUUUGGGAUGCUCCUAGACAUGUCUCUAAAUCAGUAUACUGGAGUUCUGUGUCGCAUAUUAGGAAAGUUCUUAAACAUUCAGUCACUUGGCAAUUGGGGACCGGCAAUAUUUCCAUUUGGAAUCAACCUUGGUGUGAUCUCAAAGAUGAUAACUUCAAUUUCAUCAAAACUAACCCUAUGCCAUAUUUGGAAAGUUCUUAAACAUUCAGUCACUUGGCAAUUGGGGACCGGCAAUAUUUCCAUUUGGAAUCAACCUUGGUGUGAUCUCAAAGAUGAUAACUUCAAUUUCAUCAAAACUAACCAUAUGCCUAGUAAUCUACCCAUUAAAGUUGCAGAUUUGUGGAAUGAUGACAAAGAUUGGGAUGUUCAAAAACUCAAUUCCCUGUUUGAGCAGGAAGUAGUUCACAAAAUUUUACAGGUCCACAUUUCUCAAGGAAGCACAGAAGACAAACUCUGUUGGAAAUACUCAAAAAAGGUGAAUGCAAUACAAAAAAGCGCUUACAAGGAAUUCAUUAAAAGAGAGGAGCACAGGUACUCUCAGUUUGGAAAGAUAGAAAUUUGCCUCCUAAGGAUCAAGAGCAGUCAGAGCUGGAGCAUAGAAGAAUGGACAGCAUUCCCAAUGGAAACAGGUACCACUUUUCUAACGGAUAACUCCACCAUUGCUGAUACUGCAAAAAGGAGAAAUUUUCUAGAGGAGCCAGGUCACUGGAGUUUAAGGGCUUUGUGGACCCAAAUUAUCUCUUCCACUUCAAUUGAUCUUAUACAGGUUCGAUGGGUUCCAAGAGAAGUUAACAAGAUGGCCGACAAAUUAGCGAAGGAAGCCAAGUCCGGUACCAGGAGGAACUUUAUCCAAAAUUGUCAAAACAUUGAGCAUUCUGCUUAUCCUCAUAGAAGUUUUUAUGCUAGACUUCUGAAUGAUAACUUCAGAUCUCUUAACUGUACGAUCAACUAUGUACUCUGUUUUUAAGUUUUAAUAAUAUCCCCUGGUUUUC
rnacentral:lncRNA from 1 species